rnacentral:lncRNA from 1 species
GGAGUAGGGAGUAGCUGCUGAUGGGCGUGGGUUUAUCUUUGGGGUGAUGAAAAUAUUCUUAAAAUCGACUGUGGGGAUGAUAGAACAACAAUGUGAACAUACUAAGCACCAUGGAAUUUAAAAGUACAUUUUAGUUUUUAAUGUUUUUUUUUUAGUUAUAGGUGGACACAAUACCUUUUAUUUUAUUUUUAUGUGGCGCUGAGGAUUGAACCCCCAGUGCCCCACCUCUGAACCACAAACCCAGCCCUUUAAAGUACAUUUUAAAGUGGUUAGUUCUAUGUUCUAUGAAUUUUACCUUUAAAAAAUGCCACCAGCCAGGUGUGGUGACUCAUGCCUGUUAUCCCAGGUGCUUGGGAGCCUGUGUUAUCCCAGGUGCUUGGGAGCCUGAGACAAGAGGAUCAGAAGUUCAAGGCCCACCUCAGAAACUUAGCAAGGCUCUAAGCCACUUAGUGAGAACCUGUUUCAAAAUAAAAAAUAAAUUUAAAAAGGCUGGAGAUGUGGCUCAGUGGUAGAGUACCCUGGGUUCAAUCCCCGGUACCAAAAAACCUCAACCAACCGACUAUCAAAACAAAACUCACCAAUGAGUCAGACUGCUGAUGGUCAUCAGGCUGGGCACAGAACACCAGAGGACAGCUGGAGCGAGGCCUGGGGCUGGGCGGGUGGAGUGACAGAGGAUGGGUAGGCUGCUCUUCCAGUCACUGCUCCCUGCACAGCUGGGGAUGGAGAGGGUGACAAAGGGCCUGCCUUCUGUGUUUGGACCCAGGCUCUACUGCUGGCCUGUGACUGGG